UCAGUAACGGCGAGUGAAGCGGUAACAGCUCAAAUUUGAAAUCUGGCUCUCUCAGGGUCCGAGUUGUAAUUUGUAGAAGAUGCUUUGGGUGUGGCUCCAGUCUAAGUUCCUUGGAACAGGGCGUCAUAGAGGGUGAGAAUCCCGUAUGUGACUGGUGGCCUUCGCCCGUGUAAAGCUCUUUCGACGAGUCGAGUUGUUUGGGAAUGCAGCUCAAAAUGGGUGGUAAAUUUCAUCUAAAGCUAAAUAUUGGCCAGAGACCGAUAGCGCACAAGUAGAGUGAUCGAAAGAUGAAAAGCACUUUGGAAAGAGAGUUAAACAGUACGUGAAAUUGUUGAAAGGGAAGCGUUGGCAACCAGACUCGCAUGCCGCUAAUCAUCCGGGGUUCUCCCCGGUGCACUUGGCGGUUUACGGGCCAGCAUCGGUUUUGGUGGUGGGAUAAAGGCCUUGGGAAUGUAGCUUCUUUCGGGGAGUGUUAUAGCCCUCGGUGCAAUGCCGCCUACCGGGACCGAGGACCGCGCUUCGGCUAGGAUG
rnacentral:rRNA from 1 species